rnacentral:rRNA from 1 species
UACGGGGGGGGCAAGCGUUGUUCGGAAUUACUGGGCGUAAAGGGCUCGUAGGUGGCCAACUAAGUCAGACGUGAAAUCCCUCGGCUUAACCUGGGAACUGCGUCUGAUACUGGAGGGCUUGAGUGCGGGAGAGGGAUGUGGAAUUCCAGGUGUAGCGGUGAAAUGCGUAGAUAUCUGGAGGAACACCGGUGGCGAAGGCGGCAUCCUGGACCGACACUGACGCUGAGGCGCGAAAGCUAGGGUAGCAAACGGG